UACGAAGGGGACUAGCGUUGUUCGGAAUCACUGGGCGUAAAGCGCACGUAGGCGGAUGUGUCAGUCAGGGGUGAAAUCCCGGGGCUCAACCUCGGAACUGCCUUUGAUACAGCACGUCUCGAGUCCGGAAGAGGAGAGUGGAAUUCCUGGUGUAGCGGUGAAAUGCGCAGAUAUCAGGAAGAACACCCGUGGCGAAGGCGGCUCUCUGGGACGGUACUGACGCUGAGACGCGAAAGCGUGGGGAGCGAACAGG
rnacentral:rRNA from 1 species